rnacentral:rRNA from 1 species
GGGUUGUGAGGUUAAGCGACUAAGCGUACACGGUGGAUGCCCUGGCAGUCAGAGGCGAUGAAGGACGUGCUAAUCUGCGAUAAGCGUCGGUAAGGUGAUAUGAACCGUUAUAACCGGCGAUUUCCGAAUGGGGAAACCCAGUGUGUUUCGACACACUAUCAUUAACUGAAUCCAUAGGUUAAUGAGGCGAACCGGGGGAACUGAAACAUCUAAGUACCCCGAGGAAAAGAAAUCAACCGAGAUUCCCCCAGUAGCGGCGAGCGAACGGGGAGGAGCCCAGAGCCUGAAUCAGUGUGUGUGUUAGUGGAAGCGUCUGGAAAGGCGCGCGAUACAGGGUGACAGCCCCGUACACAAAAAUGCACAUACUGUGAGCUCGAUGAGUAGGGCGGGACACGUGGUAUCCUGUCUGAAUAUGGGGGGACCAUCCUCCAAGGCUAAAUACUCCUGACUGACCGAUAGUGAACCAGUACCGUGAGGGAAAGGCGAAAAGAACCCCGGCGAGGGGAGUGAAAAAGAACCUGAAACCGUGUACGUACAAGCAGUGGGAGCCUCUUUAUGGGGUGACUGCGUACCUUUUGUAUAAUGGGUCAGCGACUUAUAUUCUGUAGCAAGGUUAACCGAAUAGGGGAGCCGAAGGGAAACCGAGUCUUAACUGGGCGUUAAGUUGCAGGGUAUAGACCCGAAACCCGGUGAUCUAGCCAUGGGCAGGUUGAAGGUUGGGUAACACUAACUGGAGGACCGAACCGACUAAUGUUGAAAAAUUAGCGGAUGACUUGUGGCUGGGGGUGAAAGGCCAAUCAAACCGGGAGAUAGCUGGUUCUCCCCGAAAGCUAUUUAGGUAGCGCCUCGUGAAUUCAUCUCCGGGGGUAGAGCACUGUUUCGGCAAGGGGGUCAUCCCGACUUACCAACCCGAUGCAAACUGCGAAUACCGGAGAAUGUUAUCACGGGAGACACACGGCGGGUGCUAACGUCCGUCGUGAAGAGGGAAACAACCCAGACCGCCAGCUAAGGUCCCAAAGUCAUGGUUAAGUGGGAAACGAUGUGGGAAGGCCCAGACAGCCAGGAUGUUGGCUUAGAAGCAGCCAUCAUUUAAAGAAAGCGUAAUAGCUCACUGGUCGAGUCGGCCUGCGCGGAAGAUGUAACGGGGCUAAACCAUGCACCGAAGCUGCGGCAGCGACGCUUAUGCGUUGUUGGGUAGGGGAGCGUUCUGUAAGCCUGUGAAGGUGUGCUGUGAGGCAUGCUGGAGGUAUCAGAAGUGCGAAUGCUGACAUAAGUAACGAUAAAGCGGGUGAAAAGCCCGCUCGCCGGAAGACCAAGGGUUCCUGUCCAACGUUAAUCGGGGCAGGGUGAGUCGACCCCUAAGGCGAGGCCGAAAGGCGUAGUCGAUGGGAAACAGGUUAAUAUUCCUGUACUUGGUGUUACUGCGAAGGGGGGACGGAGAAGGCUAUGUUGGCCGGGCGACGGUUGUCCCGGUUUAAGCGUGUAGGCUGGUUUUCCAGGCAAAUCCGGAAAAUCAAGGCUGAGGCGUGAUGACGAGGCACUACGGUGCUGAAGCAACAAAUGCCCUGCUUCCAGGAAAAGCCUCUAAGCAUCAGGUAACAUCAAAUCGUACCCCAAACCGACACAGGUGGUCAGGUAGAGAAUACCAAGGCGCUUGAGAGAACUCGGGUGAAGGAACUAGGCAAAAUGGUGCCGUAACUUCGGGAGAAGGCACGCUGAUAUGUAGGUGAAGCGACUUGCUCGUGGAGCUGAAAUCAGUCGAAGAUACCAGCUGGCUGCAACUGUUUAUUAAAAACACAGCACUGUGCAAACACGAAAGUGGACGUAUACGGUGUGACGCCUGCCCGGUGCCGGAAGGUUAAUUGAUGGGGUUAGCGGUAACGCGAAGCUCUUGAUCGAAGCCCCGGUAAACGGCGGCCGUAACUAUAACGGUCCUAAGGUAGCGAAAUUCCUUGUCGGGUAAGUUCCGACCUGCACGAAUGGCGUAAUGAUGGCCAGGCUGUCUCCACCCGAGACUCAGUGAAAUUGAACUCGCUGUGAAGAUGCAGUGUACCCGCGGCAAGACGGAAAGACCCCGUGAACCUUUACUAUAGCUUGACACUGAACAUUGAGCCUUGAUGUGUAGGAUAGGUGGGAGGCUUUGAAGUGUGGACGCCAGUCUGCAUGGAGCCGGCCUUGAAAUACCACCCUUUAAUGUUUGAUGUUCUAACGUUGGCCCCUGAUCGGGGUUGCGGACAGUGUCUGGUGGGUAGUUUGACUGGGGCGGUCUCCUCCUAAAGAGUAACGGAGGAGCACGAAGGUUGGCUAAUCCUGGUCGGACAUCAGGAGGUUAGUGCAAUGGCAUAAGCCAGCUUGACUGCGAGCGUGACGGCGCGAGCAGGUGCGAAAGCAGGUCAUAGUGAUCCGGUGGUUCUGAAUGGAAGGGCCAUCGCUCAACGGAUAAAAGGUACUCCGGGGAUAACAGGCUGAUACCGCCCAAGAGUUCAUAUCGACGGCGGUGUUUGGCACCUCGAUGUCGGCUCAUCACAUCCUGGGGCUGAAGUAGGUCCCAAGGGUAUGGCUGUUCGCCAUUUAAAGUGGUACGCGAGCUGGGUUUAGAACGUCGUGAGACAGUUCGGUCCCUAUCUGCCGUGGGCGCUGGAGAACUGAGGGGGGCUGCUCCUAGUACGAGAGGACCGGAGUGGACGCAUCACUGGUGUUCGGGUUGUCAUGCCAAUGGCACUGCCCGGUAGCUAAAUGCGGAAGAGAUAAGUGCUGAAAGCAUCUAAGCACGAAACUUGCCCCGAGAUGAGUUCUCCCUGAGACUU